rnacentral:lncRNA from 1 species
AUCUCUGAGUUAAUUAUUUUAUUCAGCAAAAGUUACUUCGUGGGGAGCUGGAGAAGAGAACCAUAAGUACGAGGUGGGAGGAGAACCUGCAGCCAGAGUGGAUAACCUGAUAUAUAGCUUCCCUGCGUGCAUGCAUAUAUUGCUGGAUUUCUGAUGUUAGUAAUUAAGCUAGGACACCAGCCGUUAACCCGUGUGCAUUAGCACAGGCUACUAGGCUAGCUAGCAUAUAAUGUAAAAGUUUCCACUAGGAUAUUUUCCAUUUUGGAUUAGUGUGAAUUUUUCAUAGUACUAUUUCUUCUUUCUUCAGAUUCCUAUGACUCAAGUAGGAAGCCACAUCGAAACUUUAUAUUCAAUGGUGUAUGCUAGCACUCUACUCUAACCAGGUACUUACCAGCUCAUACGGUCAUACCACCCUACACCAGUAAAUACAGCACUAGACUAGAGAUAGUUUCCU